GAACGAUCGACCACCUGGGAACUGGAGUGUACCGUCAAUUGACUGCCCAGAAGCUGCGGUUAACCGCAGCUUAAUUGACGAACGCUGGGUGGCCUUUGUUCGUUUGCCGAACACGUGGCAGCAGCUAUUUUAACUCCCGAACGGCCAGUGGUGUUCAGCGCCCAACUAUGGAACUGGAAACAGACACUUAUUUGCGCGAACACCUCUGCAUUCGGUAGUGGAACCGAAUGACU